rnacentral:rRNA from 1 species
ACCUACGGGACGCAGCAGUGGGGAAUAUUGCACAAUGGGGGAAACCCUGAUGCAGCAACGCCGCGUGAGUGAAGAAGUCAUUCUUGAUGUAAAGCUCUAUCAGCAGGGAAGAAAAUGACGGUACCUGAGUAAGAAGCCCCGGCUAACUACGUGCCAGCAGCCGCGGUAAUACGUAGGGGGCAAGCGUUAUCCGGAUUUACUGGGUGUAAAGGGAGCGUAGACGGCAGCGCAAGUCUGGAGUGAAAUGCCGGGGCUCAACCCCGGAACUGCUUUGGAAACUGUGCAGCUAGAGUGCGGGAGAGGUA